AGCCAAGACUAUGGGAUGCAAAGAUGAACAGCUUCAUGCUUUUCUAGGCUGAGCUAUGCCAUCAGAAUAUGUUUCUAAUGAUAUCCUCAAGUCGUUCCUCAUAGUUUUAUCUUUGUGUAACUUGAAAUAGGUUGAGGACUCACACUGGUCCUUUAUGAAUACAAGGAACUUUCACUUUAACAUAUUCUAAAUAGUCCCCAGAAAGCAGAAUACCCAGAAAGGGUGUUUCCAGUACCUGCUUUAGGCCCCACUUGUGAGAUUCUAGCAGAUGACUGUUUGAUUCAAAGAAAUUUACAUGACAGAUAUUAGAAGCAUGUUCAUUUGAAGCUUAAUCUAUUCAUUACAAUUGAGUUGUCUCUUGAGGAAGCUGUCCAAAAACGAAAUGAAUCCUGUCCAGAUAUGUAUGAAGAUCAGCUGUUGAUUCCCUUUGCCAAAUCCAGAAGAAUGUCAAGAUGCUUGUAUUGGCAUCAGUACCUAAAUCAGAAGAAUAUGUCCUACAAGUUUACAGCAUGAUGUCAAACACUGUCAGUGUGACUCCUGAAGAACUCUACAUCACUUGAUGUACUACCACAUGAGUGUUAGAAAAAAUUCAAUUUGCAUCAUCAACGACCCUAUGUACAUCGCCCUAGGUGACCUAUGUCAUCACAAUAUCCUGAAGUGUUUCCAAAACUUUUCAAUUUUGCAUUUCCCUCUUUGUUCCCGUGACCGUGUCCUGAAAACAUCUGCUCUGGAAUUCCCGAAGUGAAGAAGUGUGUCAGUCAAUUGGUGAUCACUUUCACUCCUGCUGGUUUAACCUCUGAGGACAUGGCAUACAAUCUUUCAACAUGCGUGGAACAACUUUCUAAUUAUUACUUGACAGUUUGGUAUUGCUGUUGUAUAGCAUUUUGAGUAUUUAUCAACAUUUUCAAAUUUUGUACUAUUUGUACCAUUACAAGGGUACAUGAUGUACCCUACCGUUGCUAGAUGUCUGACUUUGUCCUACUCUACUGUGAUAAUUGCACUAUGAUGUCAACCUGUUGUUUUCUUGUACAAAGUCAGACACAUUUGUUUGCAUUAGGCCCAAACUCAUUAUCCCCUUUUGUCCCCCAAAAUGUUCUUGUCUGAAGUCUUUGUCCCUUUAGAGAGAAGCGACUGACUCGGGCUUGAAUCUGCUUAGCCUAAGGUGAACUCACCACUUAUUGUAGUUGAGUAUAACCUUGACAUUACCAUUAUAGAUCUCAUUGUGACAGACCUUCUCCCACCCCACUGUGCCCAGACAGGUGCCCCAUGUAGACUAAGCAUUGUGACAGACCUUCUCCCACCCCACUGUGCCCAGACAGGUGCCCCAUGUAGACUUAGCAUUGUGACAGACCUUCUCCCACCCCACUGUGCCCAGACGGGUGCCCCAUGUAGAAUAAGCAUUGUGACAGACCUUCUCCCACCCCACUGUGCCCAGACAGGUGCCCCAUGUAGACUAAGCAUUGUGACAGACCUUCUCCCACCCCACUGUGCCCAGACAGGUGCCCCAUGUAGACUAAGCAUUGUGACAGACCUUCUCCCACCCCAGCUGUGCCCAGACGGGUGCCCCAUGUAGACUAAGCAUUGUGACAGACCUUCUCCCACCCCGCUGUGCCCAGACAGGUGCCCCAUGUAGACUAAGCAUUGUGACAGACCUUCUCCCACCCCACUGUGCCCAGACAGGUGCCCCAUGCAGACUUAGCAUUGUGACAGAAGCGUCAUGAUCGCAUUGUAAUUCGUAAGUAAUUAAAAAGAUAAGCACUUCAAGUGUUGUGCUAUCCCUUGUAUUUUAAAUGAAAAAUAGUAUGAAUCUUUGUCGAAAUUAUGUUUUUGUCAACAUCAUCACCCCCUUUAUAUGUCUCAAGCUGGUUACUUUGCGUCAUCAACGAAGCUCAGAUUGACAUUCAGUAUCAGGGAGACUUCCUUUAACCACUGACUAAUUUAUGAUGACUGCAUUGACUUUGGUUUGUGGUGGGAUAGGUAGUUCACUCUAAUUGAAAUUACCCACCUUGCACUUUCAUUUUAUUUCAUGAAGCAGAGUUACCUCCCUUCUUGGAGUAGUGAUAAUACUGGUUUUGUCAAGAGCAGGCUAACCUGACUUCCUACAGUGCCAGUCACCGCUUCUACAACAGCAGAUACAGGGAAACCAGGCUAUCUUAAUUUCAUUGAUUGUCCUUUAGACAAUGCACUGUGGAUGCCUGUCAGUCCAGAUGGGACGGUUCUCAAUGAAAUCCUCCAGAUUAACGAUUUUCCAGAUUUCCAGAUGUAACUGAUCCCUGGGUACAUAGUGAUGUUCUUUUAAGUGUGUACACACGUUCUCAUUGGGAAUUGCCCAGAGUACAGGGUUUGUGGAUUAACAAGGUUACACUGUACAUUCAUGGUCCAACAGAAUCUGUCAUGCAUGUCUUAUACUGACCUAUUUAUAGUGUCAUGAACUAUGGAAUAACACAACAUAUGUUUUAUGUGUUUAAUUGCAGGUUUUGAAAUGAUAUCUACUAAUGUGAGAGUCGUCAGUAAGGAUAGUUUACGAACUGGUUAAAUUUUACUUUCUGAAUAAAGGUUUCAGUAAUGGCCUGUUAUAUUUAAUCUUCUAAGUUUCACAACUAAAUGCAAAACUUUAUGCAAGGGAAGUAACUCUUGCAGUCAUAGCACUCAGAAUGCUUGCCUUGCCUGGACACUGAAUGAGUGACCUCCCUUUGACUCCUUAUCCCCCCCAGCGAUUACCAAUGAGCUUUGUCCGUCCAUCACUUUUCCAUUCAAGAUCUCAAAAGCAUAUUUUCAUGAAACCAUUUGUACACAGCCUUUCUCAUGAGACACAGUCCUGAGUGAGACCCUUUCAGGAGCACACCUUAAAAAACAUCCAAGUAUUUUCCAUGCAAGUGUCUGCACAGCAGUGUAAGAAAAAGGCACCUGCCUGCUCACCCUUAGCUAGCAAAAAUCUGUUUGUGGUAAAAGUCCAACUGACUAUUUCACUUUCAACUGUGAACUUUUCAAAUGCAGUUCUCCGGUUUCUGUAGAGGAAUGCAAACUUUAAAAGUCCAAAAUCAAACUAGUGUCUGUAACAAAUUGGGUUUACAUUGUUACCCAUAAUAUUUGCAAUUUUUGUUUUAAAAAAUUAAUACCUUUGCAGAAUCAACUUCCAGCAAAAAAUUUGGAACUGACUCUUAAGGCUCAUUUGCACACCUUGCUAGGAGUAUUUUGAGACAAUUUCACUCGAUGUCGCAACAGAUAUUGAUCAAUGGGUCUUCUGCUUAUUUGCAUAAAGAUUAUAAAAUUGGUGAUGUGUUUUUUAAAAUAGAUCAAUUGCUGCUGAAAGGGUCUGUUUGUCUCUGUAGAAGCCUGCUUCCUGUAAUUAUAGGGGUGGUGGGCUAGCCUAGUGGUUAAAGUGUUUGCUCAUCACACUGAAGACCCAGGUUCGAUUCCCCACUUGGGUACAAUGUGUGAAGCCCAUAUCUUCUGUCCCCGCCAUGAUAUUGCUGGAAUAUUGCUAAAAGCGGUGUAAAACUAAACUCACGCACUCACUCCUCUGAUUUAUAUGGUAGUACAAGCUGUGUUCUUGUAGCUGUCAUCUCACAGGUGACCUUGACUUGGCCAGAACAGUAUAUGGGACUGGUUAUUUAUUAUAGUGGGGAUAGGUCAUUGGGAAUCAGUGGAGGGUCAUAAAAAUAUAUUAUCUUACCUUGCAUGGAAAACACUGUAAUCUGAUUGGACAAUGCCUCAAAGUUAUGGUGACACUAUUUCAAAUUGUUGUGAGAGAAUUAAAACAAUAACUUUAAUUUGUAAAUUUUAUUUAUUGGUAUUUGAUAAGUGUAAAGGUACAUGGAGAGGGUUAUCCAAAUAUAGCAUGAGAGAAAGGUGAUUUUUUAAGUAUGUUAAUGCAUUAUGAACCUCUCACGGAUACAGAGUAAUUGUGAACCAUUACCCAAACUGGGAUAUUCUUAACUUGAAGCUUGUUUCAAGGUCUGUCAUUGUUUUUAUUUUUAUGAUUCAUUCACUCUUUUUUAUCCCAUGGGAAUAGUAAGGUAUAUCACUUCGCUCUGUUCUCAAUGCUUGUGCUAUUAGAAUGCAGUAUGUUGUGUCUGGGAGACACCUAUAGCAAGGAAUUUGAAAACACUUUGCUUUCACAAGUCCUUUUAGCUUUGAGGAGCUUGCCAAAGAGUUUAAGUUUUAGCGAUGAGUCAUGACAUAUUUCAUAUCAUAAGAAAUGAACGUGAGGUUUUAUUUGUAUUUGUUGAUACAUUUCAUAUCAACAGAAUCAAAGGUGAGGUUUUAUUUGUAAUCCCAAAUCUUUCUCCCUAUGUUGACAGUAUCAACCAGUGUCUUGAGUGUAUAAAGUGCUCCUAAGCAACUUGGUGGCGGAGAGAUAAGUGAUAUCAUUGAUAUCACAAUGGCGUCUGAUGUUGAUUGAUUGUUGUGAUAUCUCCGAGCAUAUGUUGCUUGUUUAGGAAGUCAGUUUUAGAUGAUACGUGUUCAAGAUUGUCAGGAUCACAGUGGUUAGGGAAGUUCAGGUCACUGUAAGGGCAGGUAACUCCAGUACUUCAUAUUUACAUUACCUAUAUUAUAUUUUCGUAUAUAUUGUGACUUUAAUAAUACAUUCAAUAAUAUCCAUUCAUUUUAGCAAGUCCAAUCAUAAUUAUUCGUGCUGUGUUCAAGAAUAUCAUUUAUCCUACAUAGUAACUUGAUAAAGAAUUCAGAUUUUAGCUAAAUCAGGCAUUAGUCUGGGCAAGUAUAAGAAGUUAGACACAGAGACACAUGGACACACAGACAGAGAGAGACAGAGAACUGCGUAGAUUGAUGUUCAUGAUUUUGAUCACUGGAUUGUCUGGUGCAGACUUGAUUAUUUACAGACCUACACAAUUUAACUGAAAUAUUGCUGAAUGCGGCGUUACACAUCAAACUAACAAAAACUGAAACACCAAGAACUAUACCUUACAUUUUAAUAAGUAUGCAGGCUCAAACUCUCUCUCUUUCUCUAUCUCUCUCUCUCACACACACACACACACAGACUACAGUGCUGUAUUCUUGAGUGCAUCAAUAUUUCCCCAUUUCACCUUUUAUCUAAAUGUCAAACUGAUGAAUCCAACUGAAUUCACAUGAGCAGAAUUAUUUUUAAAUAUACAAUAUGUACCCAAGGGAAAAAACAGGUACUUUAGUUAUUUCUAUCAUCAAGACUCUCAAAUCAUGCAAAGGUAGUUUUCAUUAGUCUGUAGUGUGAGAACAUAUUUACAGAUCAUUCUACAUGCCGCAGUUCGAGUCCUCCCACUUGCUGUAUUUAUCCUGUAUAAUGUGAGGGAGCUACAUCUGUAUAGUCAGCUGGUUCCUCCAUGUAUAUUGUUCUUGUAGAUAAGCCAGUGAUAGUCUGUACAUACAGUAAAUAUUAUGUCUGUAUAGUUGGGUCUCUCAUGUUUUCAGCUCAAGUAUACGUGUACUCCCAUCAAGUCAUUGUUAAUGUUUAACCUUAAUACAAAGAUAUAUUUUUUGCUCUAUUCAUAUGAUAUUAGUAGGUGUUUUUAUCAAAUCUUAUUGACAAAGGGGAGACAACUCCAUGCUGUGCUUUUCCUAGAAGCAUAAGUUGUGAAGAUAUUUAUUCAUCAUGUUAUGAAAUGUUUGAUAAAAAUAUGACUUAGGUGUUAUUGAUAGCACUAUUAUAAUGUUUUUCAGUUUAGAAGGAAAUAUAAGAAAUAACUUGCAUGCGGUUUGUAAUGUGUCACUUUCAAAUAAGUGUAUAUUAAUUAUCAUAUGAUUUUUCAUUUAAAUAAAUAUGUACGAGUACA